AACGAGAGCGACUGACGCUUCGGCUGAGUUGGUUGGACGCUGGGUUGAUUAGUCGAUCGAGUCGAUUUUCAGCGUUUGGCUUUGGUAGUUUUGGUGGCGAGUCACCGGCAAAAUAGCAAAACAUUCGUCUACUCCACACCGCAGCGAACGUACACGCUGUUGCAGACAACGCGCACGGUUGAAAACAAUCAAAACAAAACGGUUGAAAAUUAGACCUAAAACAAAAAUCGGCGACGAUCAAAAUAUAAAUAUAGUAAAAUCAAGAUUCAAAAAAUUGCACGCGCAUACAAUUUUUACAAGAGCUCAUCAAAAGCAUAAAAAAACAACGAAAUUGAUUUAAACACGCACACAACUAUGCAAACUAGCGAGGAACGCACUAGCAAUUACUAAAGUGAUAACACAUUACUGCUACAUAUUAUUAUAUUAGCUAGUCCAGCCAAUCAACCGCGCACUAUAAAAAACAGCUGACCGUCGAGUCGAUUUAGUGGAGAAGAAGAGAAAGCAACAAACUUCAGCAGCAGCAGCGCCCGCGUCAGCGUCUGCGUCGUUGUCGUUUGCCGUUAGGCUUAUCAUAUCAGCAGGCGACAGACAGUCCGUAAUAAUCCGCACCAAACAACGCCAGUUGCAACAACAACAACAACAGCCAAUAAGGCAGCAAUCAUAAUUAAAGCAGCAGCCGACAACAUGAUUUCACAUAGUCCACCCAUCUUUAGCCAUAGCCCACCAGUCAGUUUCCUAUCGGAC